AUUGAACGCUGGCGGCAGGCUUAACACAUGCAAGUCGAGCGAGCGGCGGACGGGUGAGUAAGGUCUGGGAAACUGCCUGAUGGAGGGGGAAAACUACUGGAACCGGUGGCUAAUACCGCAUACCAUCGGAUGUGCCCAGAUGGGAUUGGCUAUUAGGUGGGGUAAUGGCUCACCUAGGCGACGAUCCCUAGCUGGUCUGAGAGGAUGACCAGCCACACUGGAAAUGAGACACGGUCCAGACUCCUACGGGAGGCAGCAGUGGGGAAUAUUGCACAAUGGGCGCAAGCCUGAUGCAGCCAUGCCGCGUGUGUGAAGAAGGCCUUCGGGUUGUAAAGCACUUUCAGCGAGGAGGCGUUACUCGCAGAAGAAGCACCGGCUAACUCCGUGCCAGCAGCCGCGGUAAUAC
rnacentral:rRNA from 1 species